rnacentral:rRNA from 1 species
GUUUGAUCAUGGCUCAGAGUGAACGCUGGCGGCGUGGAUUAGGCAUGCAAGUCGAGCGAACCCGCAAGGGUUAGCGGCAAACGGGUUAGUAACACGUAAGUAAUCUUCCCCAAAGACGGACAUAGCAUCGUGAAAACGGUGGUAAUUUUCGAUAUGGUGCCGAUUGCAAAUGCAGUUGGUAUUAAAGGUAGGGACCUUCGGGCCUAUCACUUUGGGAUGAGCUUGCGUCCUAUCAGCUUGUUGGUGAGGUAAUGGCUCACCAAGGCUUAUGACGGGUAGCUGGUCUGAGAGGACGAUCAGCAACACUGGGACUGAGACACUGCCCAGACUCCUACGGGAGGCUGCAGUCGAGAAUCUUUAGCAAUGGACGAAAGUCUGACUAUGCGACGCCGCGUGAAGGAUGAAGGCCUUCGGGUUGUAAACUUCUUUUAUUAGGGAAGAAUAUUUUUAAGUUAAUAGCUUAAAAAUCGACGGUACCUAAUGAAUAAGCCACGGCCAACUCCGUGCCAGCAGCCGCGGUAAUACGGAGGUGGCGAGCGUUACUCGGAAUCAUUGGGUGUAAAGGGCAAGUAGGCGGCCAGUUAAGUGAGGGGUGAAAUCUUCCGACUCAAUCGGGAAACUGCCUUUCAAACUAGCUGGCUUGAGACUGGAAGAGGGAAAUGGAAUUAGCAGUGUAAGGGUGAAAUCUGUAGAUAUUGCUAAGAACACCAGCGGCGAAGGCGAUUUCCUGGUCCAGCUCUGACGCUAAACCGCGAAAGCUAGGGGAGCGAACAGAAUUAGAUACUCUGGUAGUCCUAGCCGUAAACGACGAGUACUAGGUGUCGGGAUUUAUUUUCCGGUGCCGCAGCUAACGCAUUAAGUACUCCACCUGGGGACUACGGCCGCAAGGCUAAAACUCAAAGGAAUUGACGGGGACCCGCACAAGCGGUGGAACAUGUGGUUUAAUUCGAUGCUACGCGAAGAACCUCACCUGGGCUUGACAUGCUCGUCAUAUCCCUAUGAAAGUAGGGAGUCGGUUCGGCCGGACGAUGCACAGGUGCUGCAUGGCUGUCGUCAGCUCGUGUCGUGAGAUGUUGGGUUAAGUCCCGCAACGAGCGCAACCAUUGCCCCAUGUUGCUAUUGGGCGCUUCAACUUCGGUUGAUUGCCUGAGCACUCUUGGGGGACUGCCCGGGAUAACCGGGAGGAAGGUGGAGAUGACGUCAAGUCAGUACGGCCCUUAUGCCCAGGGCUACACACGUGUUACAAUGGGCGGUACAAAGGGUUGCCAACCUGCAAAGGGGAGCUAAUCUCAAAAAGCCGUCCUCAGUUCGGAUAGGAGUCUGCAACUCGACUCCUUGAAGCCGGAAUCGCUAGUAAUGGAAGAUCAGCUCGCUUCCGUGAAUACGUUCCCGGGUCUUGUACACACCGCCCGUCAAGCGAUGGAAGCUAGGAGUACCCGAAGUCCUAUGUAGAUAGGCCGAAGGUAAAACUGGUGACUGGCGCUAAGUCGUAACAAGGUAACCGUAAA